GCCAAAGGUCUCUUUUACCAAUUGCAGUCCUGGCUAACGGCAAUGAGGUUGUAAUUAAAUGGCUUGAGACCAAGAAGGAAUCACCUUUCUCAAUCCGAUUUACGCUUACGAAUAGUUUUAUCGGUUCGCUUUCUGGUGUACAAAC
rnacentral:snoRNA from 1 species